rnacentral:lncRNA from 1 species
GCGUUAUUUACCUGCUAUCUUGGGGUUGCUGGCUUGAUUUCUGAAUAUUAUUUUUUAGAGUCCUCAGUGUGGCAAUUGAGAGAAUUAGUAUCUUACCUACAUUUACAGGGCAUUUUGAAUUCUGAUAGCUUGUAUCCUCUGGGACAUUCACCUCAAUUGGAGGCAGUCAGCAACAUCCUCUCCUAAAGGCAGCUUUGGGAAGCUGCAAAAGCUCUGCUGCUCAGCUGCCCGUGCUGUGGGAGAACGCCAGAAAAUCCCAGAAAUCUUGUGGAAAAAAAUGAUCACUAUCUGAAGGAGAAACAUGCAUCAGAGUACAGGAAACAACUGAUAUGUGAGAAGGAGCAAAAUUAAUCAUGCAACAGUAAAACAGUUUGGGACCCAAUAUUGUCACAAUGUUGAGUUCUCCAGAACUUUUUAUCAGGUGGCUGUGGCCUAGCUGGCAGGAAUAAAAAUGCUCUCUGUGAGCAGAAGGAUAUUAUUUAAGUAUCUAAAAACCGAUGUAGCUACCAAGCUUUGGCUUCUCAUUAUUUAAUCUAAACCUGCAUGUGGUAUAGCUUCUCUGACUUAGACAUUUGAUUCCUUCACAGAAAAUUACCAGGAGUAUGCAUUGGACGCGUGUAAAUUGUUUUAAUUUGGUUCUGUGUAUAGCACAAAUCACUGGUGCUGCCUGUGAGGAGUCAGCUUGGCACCUAUGUCUUGUCCUAAUAUUCAAUUCUCAAAGAAGGUGAAGAACAGAGUUCUAUUUAAUGCCACCAGGCAUUUUGUUGAAAGGAGAACACGUCGCUUCACUUUUUUACAGAAAAUAAAAUCAAAAUACACAGAAAAUGAAACCAAGAGAAAUGGCAACGGUCCCACUACUCCGGACUGCUUAUCUGCAAUUGCUGUGUGCAAGAAACUCCUAAUACAUGUUGUGAGGGUUACCUGAUACCAUGGAGGAACUUCUUAUGAAGACUUUCCUUUAGUGGAAUUCAUGGUAAUGUUACAUAUUGUUUUACAUCAUGUACAUUUUGAGUGAUGUUUUUUUCAAACUAACACCUUUAGUUUUUGCAUUUUGCUUCCUUCCUCAGCAGGAAUUUCCUAGCACUAGAGAGCAGAAGUGAAGGAGACUAAGAGUGACCAUGGACAACUGUAAGUUAAAACACUUCUCCUAGCCCAAGGUACUGUGCCAUUCCAGAGUUGGGGAGUUGUGAUUUAAAGCGCAUGUUGGAGACUGAUAAGGGUUAAUUUUAGGAAGAGGGCUAGGAUUCCCUGUCUAUUUUGUACCAGUGAAGUAUUUUAACUGUUUCAGAGGUGACUGAUUAUUUGUGUUGGGUUUCUUCUCCAAAUCACCCUUAGGAGGACCCUGUUUUUUCCAUACUUACAGCGGUUAUGAAGAGCCAAACCCCCUAGACCAAAGUUGUGCUUUGUGAGCAGUCGCUGCCAUGUUUAUCCUGCAGUGGAGGGAAGAUGCAGUGCAGAGAUGGCAAAACACAGGGGAAGAAAAAGCACACGGGUCAAAGGAAAUACUGGCAGCAUUUUCCCAGCUCUGAUACAAUUGCACUGUUCCUCAGGAUUUUAAUUUAUUCCUCAAAAAAGAGACUUCUAUGUAUAAAAGACAUUGUUUGCCUUAUUUUUAGUAGAAUUCUUGGCUGAUAAGUUCCCAUGGAUGCUGUAUUUUAUUCAAGCAUUAGUGCAUGUCUGGAGGUAUAAUGCUACACUGUGUGCCUCUUUGAGACAUCAUGAAAAUGCUCCUGAAAUGCCA